AUAAUAACAACAGGUCUCCACAAACACUCUUCAGGAGUUUUGAAGAAAAAACAUUACCAAUGUCCAAUGAGACAUUGCAUUUCAUUUUAAUGACUCCCAGGUGGAAAGUUAUCAAUGGUAAUUUAUCAGCAGCUGAUCCACACAUAGUAGGUACUAAGAAUAACCACACUCUAAGCAAACAGAGCCUGAGAAUAGUAGAUAAAAGUUACACUUACCAUGUGAAUGAGUUCUUUACAUUGUUUCUUCUCAAAUAGGGAAUGGGGAGAGCUCAGCUCUUGCAUCCUGACCCUCUCCUCUCCAUUGGAAGUGUGUGUUCCAGAAGUCAAAGACACUAAAAACAAAUUUAAAAUAGUCCAAACUUUUGCCAUGUGAAGGUCCUUAGUAAAGAAUUCUAUCUAAUUUACUUCCAUCUGUCCUGACCCAGCAUCUGUAAGACUCCUUAAUGUCUACGACUUGUGGUCUGAUUGUUCCCUGGUGUGCAGGAGUUAAACUAAGCUUUCAUUGGAUGGAGCAGUUACAACUGUGCCAGAGCUGGCCACACUAUAUAACCUUUGCAUCAUCACCUCCAUCGCCCACCUGCCCCUCCACCACCACACACAGCCCCAGCCUCCUCUGGCUACACCUUGUUCUUGGUCACAUAGUUCUAGCACAUGGAAAUAAAUUGGAGGUAGCAGCAUACCUCUUCUUCCUAAGAUCAUCUCCAUCAUCUUGUGACCAAAGGAGAAAAUAACUCCCCAGCUGUCAGUGGCUUUCUCAGCUGCCAACACAAGAACCUGAGCAUACAGAGGAAUUAAGGACAGAGAGUCAACAUGCACAUUUCUGCUUAUACCACGUGGGCUUCUGCUGGUGGUCAUGGUGGGUACCUCUGCCUACAUCCACCAGUGCUCCCUGAAGCAUGUCUGAACUUACCGUAAAUACUCAGCUUUUUGUUGUUGUUAUUAUUCUUUUAGUUUUUGCAUAACUGUCCUUUUGAAUAUCCCCAUGGACCACUGGCAGCUAGAUUUUAUAUGAAACAGAGAGAACAUACUGUUCACUUUAUGCCAUUUCAGAAAUUCUCUGGGUCCUGUUGGACCUGUUAAUAGUUAGUGGACCAGUGGUAGGUGGAAGGGAGGAGGCUCUGACUGAGGAGCUGGGAUCUGGCUCAGUGUUGGCCCUUGGACCAUGCUUCUAGGAUGGACCACGCUUCUACUUCUCAAGGAUCAAUAGGGCUGCAGACUGGAGAAAUGGGAGGUAUGCGACAGUGAGGGAAAAGGUGAAAAUACUUUAGAUCCAUCUGGCAGUGCAUGCAUGGAGGGAGGCCUGGAGCAGGCAGCAGAAAGGGCUUGGGACUCUCUACAGGGUAGACAGGAUGGAUGGAGCCAGAGCCAGGACCAGCCUGUGGUGCCAGCGUUGGCUGGCAUGGG
ensembl:lncRNA